rnacentral:rRNA from 1 species
UAACAGGAUUAGAUACCNUGGUAGUNCACGCCGUAAACGAUGUCGACUUGGAGGUUGUGCCCUUGAGGCGUGGCUUCCGGAGCUAACGCGUUAAGUCGACCGCCUGGGGAGUACGGCCGCAAGGUUAAAACUCAAAUGAAUUGACGGGGGCCCGCACAAGCGGUGGAGCAUGUGGUUUAAUUCGAUGCAACGCGAAGAACCUUACCUGGUCUUGACAUCCACAGAACUUNGCAGAGAUGGNUUGGUGCCUUCGGGAACUGUGAGACAGGUGCUGCAUGGCUGUCGUCAGCUCGUGUUGUGAAAUGUUGGGUUAAGUCCCGCAACGAGCGCAACCCUUAUCCUUUGUUGCCAGCGGUUAGGCCGGGAACUCAAAGGAGACUGCCAGUGAUAAACUGGAGGAAGGUGGGGAUGACGUCAAGUCAUCAUGGCCCUUACGACCAGGGCUACACACGUGCUACAAUGGCGCAUACAAAGAGAAGCNAUCUCGCGAGAGCCAGCGGACCUCAUAAAGUGCGUCGUAGUCCGGAUUGGAGUCUGCAACUCGACUCCAUGAAGUCGGAAUCGCUAGUAAUCGUGAAUCAGAAUGUCACGGUGAAUACGUUCCCGGGCCUUGUACACACCGCCCGUCACACCAUGGGAGUGGGUUGCAAAAGAAGUAGGUAGCUUAACCUUCGGGAGGGCGCUUACCACUUUGUGAUUCAUGACUGGGGUGAAGUCG